AUUGAACGCUGGCGGCAGGCCUAACACAUGCAAGUCGAACGAGUGGCGGACGGGUGAGUAAUGUCUGGGGAACUGCCUGAUGGAGGGGGAUAACUACUGGAAACGGUAGCUAAUACCGCAUACCAUCAGAUGUGCCCAGAUGGGAUUAGCUUGUUGGUGGGGUAACGGCCCACCUAGGCGACGAUCCCUAGCUGGUCUGAGAGGAUGACCAGCCACAGUGGGACUGAGACGCGGCCCAGAAUCCUACGGGAGGGAACAGUGGGGAAUAUUGCACAAGGGGCGCAAGCCUGAUGCAGCCAUGACGCGUGUAUGAAGAAGGCCUUCGGGUUGUAAAGGACUUUCAGCGGGGAGGCGUUACCAGCAGAAGAAGCACCGGCUAACUCCGUGCCAGCAGCCGCGGUAAUAC
rnacentral:rRNA from 1 species